UGUGCUCAGAAGCCCCUACACCAGCUGCUGCGUGAUGGAGAACAGGAGUCAAAGCACGGAGGCCGGCAGAAAAUCAAGAGGCCGGUCCUGUGCAUGGGCAAGAGGCCUCAGGGAUAUAUUAGCUGAGGAGGAAGCCGAGGUUGGGAAAGGUGGAGGGACUUGCCCAAGUCACACAAACGACAACUCAGCAGAGCUGAGAAUUGGCACCCAGGGCAACUGGAGUCCAUCCUGAGCUUGUCACUGCUGGGCUCUGAGACCUCCUGGUGAAGAAGGACAGUGGCAGAGACAGCCCGACCCAGAGAAACCCAGCAACGCUACUUUCUAAGGGCAUUUUUCCCUCUCAUUUGGAAUCCUGAGCCUCCUGCUCGUCCUGUAGGCCACACCCAGCAAACAGGUGGGUUUCAUUUCCUGGAGAAACCACAGAUGGAAAGUCCCAGCCAUGGGCUCCGUGUGACCUGGUGGCCUUAAGAAGCUCCCCCCACCGCCCCUCAGCCCUUUAAUCAUUUACAAAGCAGGGCCACACAGAGCAUCUAUUUUCUUUCUGGAACAUCAGAGCUGGCUGGGAACUGGGAGAAGAGCUGGAGCAACAGCCUGCAUCCAUUUCCUCUUGCUGCAAUAACAACUGAUCACAAGAUGGAGUCUCACUCUGUCAACCAGGCUGGAGUGCACUGGC
rnacentral:lncRNA from 1 species